rnacentral:rRNA from 1 species
GGGUUGUGAGGUUAAGCGACUAAGCGUACACGGUGGAUGCCCUGGCAGUCAGAGGCGAUGAAGGACGUGCUAAUCUGCGAUAAGCGCCGGUAAGGUGAUAUGAACCGUUAUAACCGGCGAUUUCCGAAUGGGGAAACCCAGUGUGACUCGUCACACUAUCAUUAACUGAAUCCAUAGGUUAAUGAGGCGAACCGGGAGAACUGAAACAUCUAAGUACCCCGAGGAAAAGAAAUCAACCGAGAUUCCCCCAGUAGCGGCGAGCGAACGGGGAGGAGCCCAGAGCCUGAAUCAGCAUGUGUGUUAGUGGAAGCGUCUGGAAAGGCGCGCGAUACAGGGUGACAGCCCCGUACACAAAAGCGCAUGUGCUGUGAGCUCGAUGAGUAGGGCGGGACACGUGGUAUCCUGUCUGAAUAUGGGGGGACCAUCCUCCAAGGCUAAAUACUCCUGACUGACCGAUAGUGAACCAGUACCGUGAGGGAAAGGCGAAAAGAACCCCGGCGAGGGGAGUGAAAAAGAACCUGAAACCGUGUACGUACAAGCAGUGGGAGCACAGGUUUACCUG